AUUACAUGAGGGAGAGAUUCUUAGCAUCGAAAUUAUCACUUAACACUCAAGAACCGAUCUCGAGUUUAUCGAAAUACUUUCGCAACUAGGAGCCCACGAUUCAUAAAAUAUUGAAUCUACGGGAAACCACAAGUUUCCAGUUGUCACGCCGAUAUGCGAUAUAAUUCAAAGGAGUGUUUCUUCUUCACGUUCCAAAACUCAUCGAAAAACAUGAUCACCAACGAUCGAGAUACCACAAAUCAUGCGCGUUCCACUCCGGCACUUUUGGCGUGCGCGUUUCAGGAAAUGCUAUUAGCGCUAUCAGUAUAUCUUUUCAUUGCUCAUUAAACAAUAGAAUAAGGAUAGACUGAUGUUGAUAGCGCUAAUAGCAUCUUUUCGAACAUAUUACCUUUGAUCUCCAUUAUCUCAAUAUGGAUAACCACAUGAUAUUUGCCAUGUAAAAUUCAGGUCCCCGAAGACGAAUGUUCUAUAAUAAGUAAUAAAUGUAGUUACUCUUGUUUUAUUAAAUUAUUUCUUUAAAAAAUUUCUUAAAAACACGAAAUAA